GGAAGGAUCAUUGAAUAUGCAAACCACAACACGCACUCUCUACUUGUGUCUGACGUUAGGUCAACAUGCGCAAGCAUGUGGCCUACUAACCUACACACCAUUGACCAACCAAUUAUCAAACCAAACUCUGAAGCUUUGGCUGCUGUUAAUCGGCAGUUUUAACAAAGAACAACUCUCAACAACGGAUAUCUUGGCUCUCGCAACGAUGAAGAACGCAGCGAAAUGCGAUACGUAGUGUGAAUUGCAGAAUUCCGUGAACCAUCGAAUUUUUGAACGCAUAUUGCGCUCGACUCCUCGGAGAAGAGCAUGUCUGCCUCAGCGUCGGUUUACACCCUCACCCCUCUUCCUUAACAGGAGGCGCCUGUCGUGCUUGCUCAAGCCGGCAGCAGGGGUGGAUCUGGCUCUCCCAAUUGGUUCACUCCGAUUGGGUUGGCUGAAGCACAGAGGAUUAAACUGGGACCCAAUUCGGGCUCAACUGGAUAGGUAGCAACACCCUCGGGUGCCUACACGAAGUUGUGUCUGAGGACCUGGUUAGGAUCCAAGCAGGAAACAUGCCUCUGGCAUGUACUCUGUAUUCGACCUGAGCUCAGGCAAGGCUACCCGCUGAACUUAAGCAUAUCAAUAAGCGGAGGAAAAGAAACUAACAAGGAUGCGCUUAGUAACGGCGAGCGAACCGCGCAAAGCCCAACUUGAAAAUCUCCCUUGGAGAAUUGUAGUCUAUAGAAGUACCCUCUGCAACGGGCUGAGCUAAAGUCUCCUGGAAAGGAGCGUCAGAGAGGGUGAGAACCCCGUAAGCUCACGCUUUGUUGCCUCACGAGGUGCUUUCAAAGAGUCGGGUUGCUUGGGAAUGCAGCCCAAAUUUGGUGGUAAAUCCCAUCUAAGGCUAAAUAUUGGCGAGAGACCGAUAGCGAACAAGUACCGUGAGGGAAAGAUGAAAAGAACUUUGAAAAGAGAGUUAAAAAGUGCUUGAAAUUGUUGAGGGGGAAGCGUUUGAAUGCUCGAGUGCGCUCAGGCUUAUGGGUCCUUAACGGGGCUCUGUAUGUGCUGAGUGCUGGCCAGCAUGGGUUAGGCUAGUGGGACAAAAGCGUGGGUUGAUACCAUGCCGCUGCCACUGGCUUGACCAAGGCGUGAAGACUGCCCUUGUCCUUCGGGAACUGCAGUCUCAAGAUGCUGGUGAAAGGCUUUCAACCGACCCGUCUUGAAACACGGACCAAGGAGUCUAACAUGUAUGCGAGUUGGUGGGUGGAAAACCCAUGAAGCGUAAGGAAACUGACUGGUGGGAUGGCCUGUGCCUGCACCAUCGACCGACCAUGCGUUUCUGCAAAAGGUUUGAGUGCGAGCAUACCUGUUGGGACCCGAAAGAUGGUGAACUAUGCCUGAGCAGGGUGAAGCCAGGUGAAAACCUGGUGGAGGCUCGUAGAUGUGCUGACGUGCAAAUCGCUUUUCGGACUUGGGUAUAGGGGCGAAAGACUAAUCGAACCAUCUAGUAGCUGGUUUCCUC
rnacentral:misc_RNA from 1 species